rnacentral:lncRNA from 1 species
AAAAAAAAAAAAAAACUAAAAAAUAUCUAAAAUACCCUUCUUCCUCAAACCACAGUGUCUUCUCCCUCGUUUCUCACUCCUGCAUUCUCUCUCUCUCAUUUAUCCCUAAAUCGAUUUUUUUGCGAAUUUUGGGUUUAUCCCUAAAUCGAGAUCAAGAGAUGGAGAAUCCCUAAAUCGAGAUCAAGAGAUGGAGCAAAAUUAUUGUGGGAAUAACUGAAAGUUAGUUUCGAUCAGAUCUGAAAGAGAGAGAUAGAUAAGAGGGGUUGGUUGGGAGUUUCAAGAAAAUGCAGACGAGGUAUAUGGAGAGAUCAAAUAGUAUGGCGAGGGAAAAACGGAAGGAUCCCAAUGGUAGUGAAGAAGACCAACCAGACAAAAACGACCUGCUCUUGCAAGGUAUUUUUAUGGGUUUUUUUAUUUCUUUAUUUUUCCUUUAAAAUUUUAUUGUUUUUUUUUUACCGAGGAGCUAGUUUGUCUUUGUUGUUUAAUUGGGGAAAUUUUAGUAAAUCAGCUGAUAUGUGUUUCUGUAUGCAUAUGAUUAGAUAUUGUUAAUUUAAUUGAACAAGAACAAAAAAGUAAGUAGAUGGUUGGGUUUUCAAGAUUCUUGAGACUAUACAUUUGCAUUGAAUAUGUAUAUCAUUAAUUCACUUUGUUGAUUGAAGGGGAAAGCUUUAUAUUUGUACUUUGCGAGGUUCUUGUAUUUGAUAUAACAGUUAAUACUUUUUUUUUUGGAAUUUUUAUUGUUGAUGUUGUAAAUUAAUUUUGAAACCUAGAUGAUAGCUAAUUUUUGUCAAAUGCGGAUUGAAGGAUUUGGACAGUUUUAUUUACUUAUUGUGAUCAUUGGCUCCUUGUUACAGCAGUACAUGCUGUGGUUCACAUUUCCAGCUUUGUCGUGUGUGUCCAGAGUAGGCAUUCACGCCCAUUGUGUCAUAAUUCAUCCCUGUUCUGUUAUACACCAAAGCUUCUUGACUCUAGUAUUUGCCUACAACUCUGCAAGUAUUAGAGUGUGUGAGACAGUGGGACACUCGUGAACAAGCUCAUUGGUCAUAAGCCUUAAACAAUUAUGGCCUGCUAAGUUAUGCGAUAUUUCUGAAAUACGAGGUUUUAUAUUCUCGCACUCUGGAUUAACCUCUGGAUUAACCUUGAUGUAAUUUUUGCAUAAUGAAUUUGUUCUCCCACUCUGGUUUCUUUUUUGAUUGGCUUAUGUUGACACCUUGUGAAUUGAAGAUGCAUAAUUUACUAAUUCUUUAUUUGUUGUUGCUAUUUCUGUUCAGAGGAACCCAUUUCAUGUAUUUACUGGAAUUAAGGUGUUUACUCUUAAGGUGAUUAAGGUGUUUACUCUGUUUUUUGUUUGUUAGAAAAACAGAGAGAGAGAGAGAGAUGAACAAGCAUCUCUCUUUUAUAUACAACGAGGGUAAUUAAGUCUUUAACCUUUUAAAGUAACAGAGUUAUGACAGAAAGCAGUUUUUCACAUCAACUCAAAAGGUCGGGUGUUUAAAUGAAGCUUUACUGACUAUAGGUGGUUAAGUGGGAAACCGCUCAAACCCCAGGUGGUCAUCUGAACUUAACCCUAAAUUAAAACAUAAUAAUAGAAGUUGUUAAAAGAAAAAUACAUAGCAUUGAACGAGGGUACGUUGAGGAAUGAUUUAUUUUAAAACGAUUUAUAAGUUAAAAUUUAAAAUAAUUUAUAAGUUAUUGUAAGUUGAGGUUUAUAAAUAAAAAUAUUUUAUAAUAUUUUGAUUUGUAAGUUAAAAAAAAGUUUCGAAGGUUUUUAGCUAAAAUAAGGAUUAGUAAAAUAUCAAAUUUAAUUAUUUUAAAAUGACUUGUAAAUUAAUUCUUAAAAAGUAAAAAAAUUAUUAUUAUUUAAAAAACUAUUUAUAAGUCAAUUUAUU